AGCAUGAUACGCCAACAGAGCUUUAUCCAGUCUGGAUGACCAAUAUUUGCGAGUUGGAUCUACUAUUUUCUCUGAAAUCUAUUUAAUUUCUCAAUUAAAAACAUCAGCUUGUUCAUUUAUUUGGGGGUGAUAUGCAAUGGCUACCUCAUCCCAUACCUAUUCAAUGCAUUGGCGACUAAUUUGCAGUCGAAAUGGGAUCCCUCAUCACUAAUAAGAGCAUAGGGUGUACCAAAUAUUGUGAAGAUAUUUUAAUGCAAGAACUGUACCACCG
rnacentral:lncRNA from 1 species